rnacentral:lncRNA from 1 species
UGAGAGAGCUUGCAACGAGUAGAAGGGGGAGAGCAGAGAGCACAAAGAGCAGAGCUCUGCAACUGGUUUCGUCGAUGGGCUGGAAAUGAUUGAUGGGCUUGUUUCCGACUAAAUUAUUUCUUCAUAAAUCAUGGCUAGAAUACAUGAAGCCAUGAAACCAAUUGGUCCAAGAACAAUGAGAUAAUUUUGUUUCUACUUUGUACCCAAAAAAAUAAAUGAAAACACUGACACAUGGUGUUACUAUUCGUAAAAAACUUACACAAUGUUCCUCUUUAAUGUAGAAUACAUCUUACACCAUUUAAGUUUGAGGUAAUUUUCAAAACGGGUGUGAAAUGUAGUUAGCCCUAAAACCCUAAAAUGUAUAUCAAGUUUUGACAUGAAUUGAGAAUCAUUUGGUGCAGGUAUGGAUCC